AAAACUUUCAGAAUAACACCAUUUUCUUUUGCAAAUUUUUUUUGGUAGGGCUAAAGGAAUGGGGAGAUUAGAAUGUACUAAAGAUACACUAUACUGGUGACUCGUCAGACUCAUGCAUUAUCUAAAACACUCGGACUAAAAGCAAAAUGAAACAAAGUAAAAAACUAAAAAUCAAUAAAAAUAAACAAUCUAACUAAAAACAACAAAGAAAAAUAGAAAG
rnacentral:lncRNA from 1 species